AAGUGGAGGACCGAACCCACAUCCGUUGAAAAGGGUGGGGAUGAGGUGUGGAUAGCGGAGAAAUUCCAAUCGAACCCGGAGAUAGCUGGUUCUCCUCGAAAUAGCUUUAGGGCUAGCCUCAUGAGAGUCUUAUGGAGGUAGAGCACUGAAUUGCCUAGGGGGCGUCAAAGCUUACCAAAGCAUAUCAAACUCCGAAUGCCAUCAAGAUGAUUCAUGGGAGUCAGACCAUACGAGAUAAGUUGGAUGGUCAAAAGGGAAAGAGCCCAGACCUACAGCUAAGGUCCCAAAGUACGUGUUAAGUGGAAAAGGAUGUGGGGAUUCUAAGACAACUAGGACGUUGGCUUAGAAGCAGCCAUUCAUUGAAAGAGUGCGUAAUAGCUCACUAGUCGAGAGUCCCUGCGCCGAAAAUGUCCGGGGCUGAAACACGACACCGAAGCUUAGGAAUGUGUAAACAUUGGUAGAGGAGCAUUGCUGGCGGGAUGAAGCCAUACCGUAAGGAGUGGUGGACUGCUAGGAAGAGAGAAUGCCGGAAUGAGUAGCGAGAUGAAGGUGAGAAUCCUUCAGGCCGAAUAUCUAAGGUUUCCAGAGUAAAGCUGAUCUGCUCUGGGUAAGUCGGGACCUAAGGCGAGGUCGAAAGACGUAGUCGAUGGAUAACAGGUUGAAAUUCCUGUACCGCAUAUAAACAGAACUGUGGGGACACAGACAGGGAAUGGAAUCCGGGAAUGGAGAUCCCGGUGCAAGCGAGGUAGGAGUGCUGUUGGCAAAUCCGCAGC
rnacentral:rRNA from 1 species